GGCCCCCUGCUUGGCUUGGCCUGGCCUGCCCGGCCCCAGCCUUCCAAUGCUGCUGCACGUCCUCAUUUUCCUUUUUGGUCCCCUCCUGCCCCCUCUGGCUGUUCUGCCUUUGGGCCUCAGCCCCAGCUGCCUGAGUUUGGGCAAGGUUCUUUCUCUGUGGCCUUCAGGCUCACCCCCAGGGCUCUGACCCGGGCCUCUCCCACCGGCCCCAC
rnacentral:lncRNA from 1 species